rnacentral:tRNA from 1 species
GGGAGUAGAUAGGGCGCUGGUGUCCCUCCUGGACUUCAAAUCCAGUGGCAGGUGAGUUCCACCUGUGGUGGGUUCGAUUCCCACACACUCCCGCCA